AGGACGAACGCUGGCGGCGUGCUUAACACAUGCAAGUCGAGCGGUAAGGCUCCUUCGGGAGUACACGAGCGGCGAACGGGUGAGUAACACGUGAGUAAUCUGCCCUCCACUUCGGGAUAAGCGCCGGAAACGGCGUCUAAUACCGAAUACGACGCACUCUCGCAUGAGAUACGCGUGGAAAGUUCUAUCGGUGGAGGAUGUGCUCGCGGCCUAUCAGCUUGUUGGUGAGGUAACGGCUCACCAAGGCUUCGACGGGUA
rnacentral:rRNA from 1 species